rnacentral:tRNA from 1 species
CGGAGUGUAGCUCAGAUGGCUAGAGCGCGCGCUUCGGGUGCGCGAGGUCGCUGGUUCAAGUCCAGUCACUCCGA